CUUUGCACCCUUACUGAGGAAGUAUCUUGAGGAAAUUCUCCAGCAAAAUGAGGAUGAAAACCAGGAAAGAAGAAGAAAUGGGAUCCAUAAAACAGUGGACCUUACUUAGGAUGUCUCAUUCUAGAGUGACAGCCAAAAGGGUAUCUCACCCUAGAGUGACAGCUAUCCAGCAGACUAAUUUCAGAUGAGAGCAUACUGUCUCGGGCUUUCUGGGAAGAAUGUGCAUUCAGUGCCAUAGAUAGUAUCAUUGAAGAGCUGGGAUGCUUGAGAAGAUUAUUUAGUCAAGAAAAAAGAAAGACAAAUCAACAAUAUGUCAAAAAAUUCAGGUCCAAUUAUAGAGCAAAAUAAAAUGAGGCAUGAUUUUGAGUUAUUCAUGAAGAAUAAGAAGAGGCUUCAUAGGUACAUUUCCUUUUCUAUGGCACAGGCAUGAUGAUAUUGGGUGUGUAGGGAAG
rnacentral:lncRNA from 10 species